UUUUCCUGGCUUCUUUUCCAAAAGGAAAGGCAAAAACCGCUUCUCUCCGUUACAAACCACUCCAGGGAAGCCUAAAGUCUGUAACGUUAACGUUAAGCCAUUCAGCAUAUAUGCAUAUUUGGUUAACAAAGGCUGUACCAGCACUCCUUCUGCUGCGGAAGAGUUGGAGUUAAGCCAAGCAGGGUUGGGGAAGAGGUCCCUCACCUUGACAGACGAUAUGAGCCACGCAGUGAUAAACCAACUUCUCAUUGAAGAAUAUCCCAAGAUGGAGGGGGUGGAAGGGUGGCUGUUCUACAAGGCUUCAGGUGGCCAUGGUAGAAGGAAACUGGCUGCAGUUCCUCCUGAUGUAGAUGGUUAUACAGGAAGACUAAUUUGCACUGUUUCGGGUGCUGGGAAGACCGUUUUGUAUGUUGUUCCACUACAGCAGGACCUUGAUCUCACGCCAUUGCCAUAUGAUGCACCUGAAUUUCAAAAAAUGCCGAAGACUGCAUGUCAAGUGUGCAAAGAAAGCAUGCCUCUGCAUAUUCUAGCAUUGCACAUUGAGGGUUGUAUAGGGUCUCAGUCUGCAACAGAUG